rnacentral:rRNA from 1 species
UACGGAGGGUGCAAGCGUUAAUCGGAAUUACUGGGCGUACAGCGUGCGUAGGCGGUUAAUUAAGUCAGAUGUGAAAGCCCCGGGCUUAACCUGGGAACUGCAUUUGAUACUGGUUAACUAGAGUUGAGUAGAGGAGAGUGGAAUUUCAGGUGUAGCGGUGAAAUGCGUAGAUAUCUGAAGGAACACCAGUGGCGAAGGCGACUCUCUGGACUCAAACUGACGCUGAGGUACGAAAGCGUGGGUAGCAAACAGG